GCCAACAUCCACGUGCGCGCGGGGACGGGCGAGGCGGAAUAUGUGCGCAUGCGCCAGCAAAGGGACGCCUCGCUCGCCUAUCCCGCUCUGAUGCUGCCCUCGGU
rnacentral:misc_RNA from 1 species